AACGGCCGUACCAUGCUAAAUAUACCGGUUCACGUUAGAUCACCGAAGUCAAGCAUCAUUGGGCGCGGUCAGUACUUGGGUGGGUGACCACCUGGGAACACUGCGUGCCGUU
rnacentral:rRNA from 1 species